rnacentral:lncRNA from 1 species
CUGGUUCCAAGCUCUUCUGCAUUUUGAUGCUCCCACCCAGAGAACUGUAUGUUGGGAAGUUUGUGCAUCAACGAAAGGUUUGUUGUAUGUGGUGGUCCCAAACGAACAGAAUGUAUUGCCAAAUGGAGAUUCCUUUGGGGACAAAAUGAUGAAAACCUAUACCACCAAAGCAGACUGGAGUACAUCUAGACAGGAUGUCACUAAGAAAUGGAACCUGGAAGACUUCUUUUUGAAUGCAUGAUUUCUGUUUCAAAAGACACAAGGAUAUGGGGCAGUGGUUUCUUGUGACUUAAGCUCAUCAGCAGAGGCUCUGAGUGGAGCUAGUGGAUUUGGCCCUCUUUGCUGAGCUGUUGGGGAGAUCCUCCCACAAAAUCAUAUUUCUUUUGGCUUCAGAGUUCAGCAAAAUUGAGUAUCUUUUUAAAUGAAAAAUUAAUUAUACUAAGAUGUAUUUCACUUCAGAUGGUGAUGAUCCAUUUUCUACCAACAAUCCUUAUCAAGCAUCUGCUGAGGCUACCUUAUCCAGGGAAAUGCUUUGACUUCUUAUGAAGAGAAUGGUAUCUCCCUUCUUUAUUGCUGCAUUACUUUCAACAUUCUCUUUCCUGAAUCAGGAUUUAAACCAAUACAUCCUUCAAUCUUGCUUAAUUUAGUGAAAACAAGAUUGUUAGAGUUGUAUUCCUCUUGAGUCUCUCAAUUAAGAUCAGAUACAAUGCUAUGAAAAAACUGAUUAGGGUGAUGUAGGUGAAGUAUAGAAAUGAGGAAGUGAGAGCAAGAGAGAGCACUGGACAGAAACUACAAGACUGGCAGAAGCUUGUACUGACUGAAAAAUUAGCCAUGAUUGGCAGGACAAAGGAUAUAUGGGAAUAAACGUGGGCAAUAAAACAGCAAUGAAGAUUUCUCUGGGAAGACUCCUUCAAGUGGUGUUUAAUCCCCGAUCUGGCACUGUUGGGUGUACAGUUGCUUGGUUAGUUUAAAUGAGGAACAGGUUUGGCAGCAGAAAGGAGGGAGAUGGGACCUACUCCUUGUUGUACAAUAGAUUCUAAUAUGCUGCUUUGUCUUAGUAAAAAAAAUUAAAAUAAUCCCUAGUGGCUGGGCUUUGAGGGGGGAAUGUUUUUAUGUUUCAGUCAUUUUUCUGGACCAGGAUGAGAUGGAGGGUUUUUGCAAUAUGUUUCCUAUAGCCUAGGGCAAAAACUUUCUCCGUGGGCUUCUCUAUGUCGUCUGAGUGAUGAGAGGGAAACAAACCAGGGUACGACAUAGUUUAGUAAAGCCUGGAUCACAUGAAAAUUUGGUGGUAAAUACAUACUCUAAAGCUUUAGGGCCCAUAGCUAAAGAAAAAAAUUUUGGAAUAACUUUUUAAAAGAGAUUUGAAAUUUGUGAGAGAUAAAGCAGAUAAUAUAAAUCCUAAUCUCUUCUCAACGUGUGUGUGUGUAUGUGUGCGUGCACAAACACACACACACUCAUACACAGAGAGAUACACACACCUGGGUCAUUUCAUCAGGUAUCAGAGUUCUUUGGAAGUGAGUGAAGGAUUUUGGUUUUGAUGGAUGUUCUUGCUAUACUCAAGGCUUUUUUAUCUGUAGCCUUUUUGAAGUUUUAUUAUUUCCAUAAGUUAAUAUUGAUAUCAUUUUUCGGUUUCCUCAUAGAUAGAUCCUGUCGAAUUGUCUGGCUGUUUUUAUCAAGGAUAUGGUCUAUGGGAUCAUUAAAAUGAUGUGACAUCAUGCUUACAGAAUAUUUUAAAAACUCAUUAAAAACUCAAAAUGCAGGGUUUCUCCCUACAAUGUAUGAAGUCUUUUUCUUUUUCUUUUUUUUAAAGACAGGAUCUUGCUGUGUCACCCAAGCUGGAGUACAGUGGCAUGAAUAUGGCUAACUAUAGCCUCGACCUCCUGGGCUCAAGUAAUCCUCCUGCCUCAUCCUCCCAUGUAGUUGGGAUCAUAGGUGUGCAUCACCACACCUAGCUAAGUUUUAUUUUUUGUAGAGAUUGAGGUCUCACUUUGUUGCCCAGGCUGGUCUUGAACCCCUCGGCUCAAGCAGUCCUCCUGCCUUGGUCUCCCAAAGUGCUGGGAUUACAGGUAUGAGCCACCACACACCCAGACCUUGUAUGAGGUCUUAAACAUAUGUCACGGUAAAUCUUUUUUUUUCUUCUAUGUUCCUCUUCACUUACCUUCUUCAUGUUCAGUAAAAAGAAAGUGCCAG